UGGCGGACGGGUGAGUAAUGUCUGGGAAACUGCCUGAUGGAGGGGGAUAACUACUGGAAACGGUAGCUAAUACCGCAUAACGUCGCAAGACCAAAGAGGGGGACCUUGGGCCUCUUGCCAUCGGAUGUGCCCAGAUGGGAUUAGCUAGUAGGUGGGGUAAAGGCUCACCUAGGCGACGAUCCCUAGCUGGCCUGAGAGGAUGACCAGCCACACUGGAACUGAGACACGGUCCAG
rnacentral:rRNA from 1 species